rnacentral:rRNA from 1 species
GACGAACCGUGCGAACGUUGUUCGGAAUCACUGGGCUUAAAGGGCGCGUAGGCGGGUCAGCCAGUCCGGGGUGAAAUCCUUCGGCUUAACCGAAGAACUGCCUCGGAGACGACUGAUCUGGAGGGAGGUAGGGGCGGCCGGAACUUCCGGUGGAGCGGUGAAAUGCGUUGAUAUCGGAAGGAACGCCGGUGGCGAAAGCGGGCCGCUGGACCGGAACUGACGCUGAGGCGCGAAAGCGUGGGGAGCAAACAGG